CACGUAGGGGGCGAGCGUUGUCCGGAUUCAUUGGGCGUAAAGGGCGCGCAGGCGGCUCGGAAAGUCGGGUGUGAAAACUCGGGGCUCAACCCCCGGGCGUGCAUCCGAUACUGCCGGGCUUGAGGCAGGUAGGGGAGAUCGGAAUUCCUGGUGUAGCGGUGGAAUGCGCAGAUAUCAGGAGGAACACCAGCGGCGAAGGCGGCUCG
rnacentral:rRNA from 1 species